AACGAACGCUGGCGGCAUGCCUAACACAUGCAAGUCGAACGAGACCUUCGGGUCUAGUGGCGCACGUCUGCUUAACGCCUGGUAACCUACCCUUAGGUUCGCAAUACCUCCCCUAAAGAGGUCCUAAUACCGGUUAAUGUCUUCGGACCAAAGAUUUAUCGCCUUUGGAUGGGCCCGCGUUGGAUUAGCUAGUUGGUAGGGUACAAGCCUACCAAGGCGACGAUCCAUAGCUGGUCUGAGAGGAUGAUCAGCCACACUGGGAAUGAGACACGGCCCAGACUGCUACGGGAGGCAGCAGUGGGGAAUAUUGGACAAUGGGCGAAAGCCUGAUCAAGCAACGCGGGGUGAGAGAGGAAGGGGUUAGGGUUGUAAAGCUCUUUUACACGGGAUGAUAAUGACAGUACCGGGAGAAGAAGCUCCGGCUAACUACGUG
rnacentral:rRNA from 1 species